GAUGAACGCUGGCGGCGUGCCUAAUACAUGCAAGUCGAGCGAACAGAUGAGGAGCUUGCUCCUCUGACGUUAGCGGCGGACUGGUGAGUAACACGUGGAUAACCUACCUAUAAGACUGGGAUAACUUCGGGAAACCGGAGCUAAUACCGGAUAAUAUAUUGAACCGCAUGGUUCAAUAGUGAAAGACGGUUUUGCUGUCACUUAUAGAUGGAUCCGCGCCGCAUUAGCUAGUUGGUAAGGUAACGGCUUACCAAGGCGACGAUGCGUAGCCGACCUGAGAGGGUGAUCGGCCACACUGGAACUGAGACACGGUCCAGACUCCUACGGGAGGCAGCAGUAGGGAAUCUUCCGCAAUGGGCGAAAGCCUGACGGAGCAACGCCGCGUGAGUGAUGAAGGUCUUCGGAUCGUAAAACUCUGUUAUUAGGGAAGAACAAAUGUGUAAGUAACUAUGCACGUCUUGACGGUACCUAAUCAGAAAGCCACGGCUAACUACGUG
rnacentral:rRNA from 1 species